UGUAUGUUUUUGACACUGUAGGAAAAGGUGAACUCUUCAUUUUUUUGUGAAACGACGUCUUUGUGUGCCUAUCUUAAUUCAAAUAAGAUACUAAAAUUUCAUGGGAUCUAAACAUAUUAGCUGUCAUUAGUAUAAAAUUUUGUCAAAUCUUUUGCAAUGAGUACCUACAAAUCGAAUAUGAACGAAUUAUAUAGCAGCAUUAUGGGUAUAUUUUGCUUAUGUUAUAAUCUGAUUUGAUUGUUAUAUUAUUUUAUAAUAAUUGGUUAUUUUAUUUUAUAUUAAUGGUGCUUCUGAUAUAAAUUUCUUUAACAUUGUCUGGAAAAAAUCUCGGCAAUAAAGACCAAUUAUGAAAACACACAAUUUAAUCAUUUUAGGAAUCAAUUUUUUAAAUGUCUUAUAGUAGGUAGUGUAGGUAUAUUAAACAGAAAUUUACCUGUCUUUGUAUACCAAUAUAAAAUCUAUUUAUUAAAAUUUUACUCUUGUUCUACUUUAUAAAAACAAUAAUAAAAUGGUAACGGUUCCACAGCAGUACACUGGUUUUGCUAAUGUCAACAUAAAGGAAGUAGAGUCACUGUACUGAUUAGCAACCAAUUAGUUGAGUUGUAAACAUUAGACAAGUCGAAAUAUAUGUGUUUUACAUGUAAAAUGGAUGGCUACCAUAUUAAUUGGUUCUAAAUAUAAUUUAGUUGUGAAACAAAAUGUAAAAUAUUUCACUUUAAUCUAUAAAUUGUGAAAAAUAACAAGAAAAGUGACAUAAUAACCAGCGUUACAUAGCAAUCACUUAUUUCAGUUAACAUCUGCUAAUGUAUUAGAUUAUGACCAUUACUUUAAACAAUAAAAAAGUUAGAAUACAGGUUUUAUGAAAACUUCAUAUUUUUUAAUUUUAUCUGUUCAUAUUUAAUGUGAGCUGCAAACAGCCAUUAGGUCCAAAUAAUGCCUGAUAUUUCAACAAAAUGAAUAUGAUAGCAGCAUCAGAAUUUAUAUUUUGUAAUGUGACAUUUUGAAUAAAAAUGUAUAAAAAAAUAAUACUUAUGCUAGGGUGGUACAAUAAUCUCAAUGGAAAUUCUAUGCAGUUUGGACGACAUAUUAUAAGACAACUGUGUUGUUUCUGAAUUUCCUCCUCAUUUUUAUUAAGUCUCAUCUGCUCUAUGAGGCAUGACUGCAAAUAGCUUAUCAAAUAUGUUACAAGUAACUCAAGACACACCCAUUAUUUUCUCUUACAUAAGUAGUUUUAUUCAGUCCCAAUCUUUAUUAAUAUCCAGAAGUUCUAUAUUACAAUAGUUAUAGGUUCUUUAAAACAAUUUUUCAUGUUAUAUGUUUGUCUCCAUGUAGAACUAUUUUGUCCCUAAUAAAGCAUGAAUAUUGUCUGCACUACUUUUAUGUUAAUCCCAAGUCCAAUUUGUUAUAAUUUGCUUUUACAACAAUUCUGCCAAUGUCCAGAUUGAAAAACAAAAGACACACAGGCUAUAUGUAUAUAAAAAAAGUAAUUAAGAUAAUGCUACAAUAAUUGUACUUGUCACUAAUUAACAAUGAACCUUUCUAGAACUUGGUGGAUAGGAACAACUAAAUCAAAAAAAAAUAUAUAUUCAAAUUAGGAACAUCAAAGUGACAACACAUCAUUCCAAAAUGACCUAGGUAAAUUAGUUAAAACAUGAAUCAAAAAAUUUAAUAUAAUUGAUGAGCCCAUAAAAUUAUUUCUGCCUACAAAUUUAGCAAAUAAAGCAAGCUAUGGGCAUUAUAGUAUCAUUUAUAAAAACAUCUAUAAUUUUUGGAGCUGGUGUGUAUACAGGGGUGUAUUUCGCCCAAAAUUAUGAGGAUGCUGUCCGACUAAUUUGUAAGAAUACUAUUCAGGAAUGUGACAAGGCCAGGGAUAAAAAAAAAUGAUUGAAAAAGUGGAAGAUCCAAAGGCAUUGUUUGAAAAAGUGCAAGCGUUUAUAAAGACAAAGUUGUCUGAAGUUAAUGAUGGAAAAAAAGGAGGGGGAAAUUGAUGGCAACUAUGUAUUUAAAUUAGGCAUGAUGAAAUGAAACAUUAAGAUUUGUACAUACUUUUAAUAGGUCUAUGUGAUGAUAAUUUAAAUAAAAUUAGUACAUACAUA